UAGCUAGUUGGUAGGGUAAAAGCCUACCAAGGCGACGAUCGGUAGCUGGUCUGAGAGGAUGGACAGCCACACUGGGACUGAGACACGGCCCAGACUCUUACGGGAGGCAGCAGUGGGGAAUAUUGGACAAUGGGGGGAACCCUGAUCCAGCGAUGCCGCGUGUGUGAAGAAGGCCUGCGGGUUGUAAAGCACUUUCGUUAGGGAGGAGGGUGAUUUGGUUAAGAGCUGGAUUACUGGACGUUACCUAAAGAAGAAGCACCGGCUAACUCCGUGCCAGCAGCCGCGGUAAUACGGAGGGUGCGAGCGUUAAUCGGAAUUACUGGGCGUAAAGGGUGCGUAGGUGGUUUAUUAAGUUAGGUGUAAAAUUCCUGGGCUUAACCUAGGGAGGCCAGCUAAGACUGAUAGACUUGGAGUAUAGGAGAGGGUAGUGGAAUUUCCGGUGUAGCGGUGAAAUGCGUAGAGAUCGGAAGGAACACCGGUGGCGAAGGCGACUACCUGGCCUGAUACUGACACUGAGGCACGAAAGCGUGGGGAGCAAACAGGAUUAGAUACCCUGGUAGUCCACGCUGUAAACGAUGUCAACUAGCUGUUGGUCAUAUGAAUAUGACAAGUGGCGC
rnacentral:rRNA from 1 species